rnacentral:rRNA from 1 species
GACGAACGCUGGCGGCGUGCUUAACACAUGCAAGUCGUACGGUAAGGCCCUUUCGGGGGUCCACGAGUGGUGAACGGGUGAGUAACACGUGAGUAACCUGCCCACAACUUUGGGAUAACGCUAGGAAACUGGUGCUAAUACUGGAUAUGUGCUCCUGCUGCAUGGUGGGGGUUGGAAAGCUCCGGCGGUUGUGGAUGGACUCGCGGCCUAUCAGCUUGUUGGUGGGGUAGUGGCCUACCAAGGCGGCGACGGGUAGCCGGCCUGAGAGGGUGACCGGCCACAUUGGGACUGAGAUACGGCCCAGACUCCUACGGGAGGCAGCAGUGGGGAAUAUUGCACAAUGGGCGCAAGCCUGAUGCAGCAACGCCGCGUGCGGGAUGACGGCCUUCGGGUUGUAAACCGCUUUCAGCAGGGACGAAGCUUUUUGUGACGGUACCUGCAGAAGAAGCACCGGCUAACUACGUG